rnacentral:sRNA from 1 species
UGAUUGCAGAUCAAAUUUUCAAGGGUAUAAAGGCCCUUGAAAGAAGAUGUGCAAUA